rnacentral:rRNA from 1 species
AGUCACGAGUUUGAUCCUGGCUCAGGAUGAACGCUAGCGGCAGGCUUAACACAUGCAAGUCGAGGGGUAUUGGUUUCGGACCAAGAGACCGGCGCACGGGUGCGUAACGCGUAUGCAAUCUACCUUUACAGAGGGAUAGCCCAGAGAAAUUUGGAUUAAUACCUCAUAGUAUGUGAGAAUCGCAUGGUUUUCACAUUAAAGUUCCAACGGCAAAAGAUGAGCAUGCGUCCCAUUAGCUUGUUGGUAAGGUAACGGCUUACCAAGGCAACGAUGGGUAGGGGUCCUGAGAGGGAGAUCCCCCACACUGGUACUGAGACACGGACCAGACUCCUACGGGAGGCAGCAGUGAGGAAUAUUGGUCAAUGGGCGCAAGCCUGAACCAGCCAUGCCGCGUGCAGGAAGACGGUCCUAUGGAUUGUAAACUGCUUUUAUACAGGAAGAAACCCUCCCACGUGUGGGAGCUUGACGGUACUGUAGGAAUAAGGAUCGGCUAACUACGUG